AGGGUAGUAACUCAGUGGUAGAGUGCAUGCUUAGCGUACAUGAGACCCUGGGUUCAAUCCCCAGUACCUCCA
rnacentral:tRNA from 1 species